GAGCAGCGGUAGUGACCUUCUUUUUGCUGCUACAGUGGCUGGGGUGGUGAGGUGUAUGGGAAUCGGCCUCAGGCACCAGAUGCUUCAGGGUGUGGACCUCGGCCACCAGGAGAAGGUUACGCACACCGGCCAGAAAAAGAAAAUUAAUUUAGAAGAUUGAAAAAAUGGUGGAUUGUAUAUGGAAGAUGAAUAGCUUGUACACGAGAGCUCCCUGAGGACAAAAUUAGGAUGAGGAGGUUCCUCUCGGCUAAGAUACUUUCUCAGACUUUGUUUUUGAUGGCUUUGAGAGUUUUGAAGUUGGAUGUCCUUGUACCUACGGAGGGACAAGACAUGACAUUAAGGGAAGAGAAUACUGAGACACAGAAAAGAAAGAUGACAAAUAUUUUGCCUAAGUAUAAACUCAUUUAUUUAAGGACAACAGACAGAAUUUUAGUCCAUGUGGUUCCAAUGAUUAAAUCAAAUGAUUUAAUUGUGCUUAGAGAAAAAUACUGAAAAUGAGUAGAAAAAAUUUCCAAAUUGGAUUGCCUAUAAAUAAAUAAAUAAAUAAAUAAAUAAAUAAAUUUAUUGUGAAAGAACAAACAGACAAAUAAAAGUAAAUUACUUUUUAAAACAAUUUCCUUUAAGGAGUUUGGAAAGACCUGGCUUUUGCUUGCUACUUUGUCAAGUCAGUUCCUUGUUCUUUCACAAGGUGGUGCUAUAAAUGUGACUUUCCUUUACUGACUAAACUAGAAGAUGCCUUUCCCACAAUUUGGAUAAUUGCAUCUUUAGCUGUCAGACCCUCUGUUUUAUGAUUACUUGCUAGUUAACAGUAAAGUGUUUGUCAGUGACUUUAUGAUCACUUGUAAUUGGCCAUGAAAGAAUGUAUAAGAAAUGAUCUGGAGAAAAAUAUAACAUCUACUUUGCUCUCAAGGCAGGGAGCAAAAUCCUUACUCUAGUUGCCUAUGUGUCCCAGUGUGACAGAUCUUUAGUUAUAAUUUCCAUAAACACAGUAGUAUGGCAAAAACCUAAGAAAAGAAAAUUCUUGCUGUGUUUUUGAUUCAUCAAGACUAAGGCCAAUUUCUUCUUUUUUUGUUUCCCUUUUUAUAAUUAGGAAUUAGGUUAAUAUUGUGUGAGAUUCGUAAAAAUCUAGAUUAGUGUGAUGCUUUGGGAAUUUGUGUUUUGAUGACUAGUUAAAUUGUUGUGAAUAAUGUACCAUUAUUGAUAUUUUUUGUUCAUGGAUAUGUGUAUAUAUUUAAUUGCUUAAUUAUCUUAAAUACGUUUCAAGUUGUCCUUCAAGAAAACGUGUGUAUUCUUUUUAUUUGAAUUGUCUAUAGGCAAAACAUUUGCUAUUAUUUGCAGUUUAAAAUAUAAUAAAAUCUACAGAGAAGUUAGAAUUC